rnacentral:rRNA from 1 species
ACACGGGGGGGGCAAGCGUUGUCCGGAAUUAUUGGGCGUAAAGGGCGCGUAGGCGGGCUGAUCAGUCCGAGGUGAAAGUUUUCGGCUCAACCGGGAAAUUGCCUUGGAUACUGUCAGUCUUGAGUUCGGAAGAGGGAAGUGGAAUUCCUGGUGUAGCGGUGAAAUGCGUAGAUAUCAGGAAGAACACCGGUGGCGAAGGCGGCUUCCUGGUCCGAAACUGACGCUGAGGCGCGAAAGCGUGGGGAGCGAACAGGAUUAGAAACCCUAGUGUCC